AAUGUUUCUCAGCCUUUUGGCUAAAAUCAAGUGGUCUCUGUUCUUAUAAGCUUUGUAUGUGAUAUGUCCCUAAUCUGAGGGCAAUAUACUAAAUUGGCAUUUGGAAUUAGGAGAUGGAAUGGGAGCUUGCUCUGCCCAGUGUGUGCAUUGACCUGGUGUUGCAGUACUUCUAGGAAUAGUGUGCCCUUC